rnacentral:rRNA from 1 species
CCUACGGGGGGCAGCAGUGAGGAAUAUUGGUCAAUGGUCGGAAGACUGAACCAGCCAAGCCGCGUGAAGGAUGAAGGUACAGAGUAUCGUAAACUUCUUUUGUCAGGGAACAAAGUCGGGGACGUGUCCCCGGCUGAGUGUACCUGAAGAAAAAGCAUCGGCUAACUCCGUGCCAGCAGCCGCGGUAAUACGGAGGAUGCGAGCGUUAUCCGGAUUUAUUGGGUUUAAAGGGUGCGCAGGCGGACUGUUAAGUCAGCGGUCAAAGCCCGGGGCUCAACCCCGGCCCGCCGUUGAAACUGGCAGUCUCGAGUUGGAGAGAGGUAUGCGGAAGGCGCGGUGUAGCGGUGAAAUGCAUAGAUAUCGCGCAGAACUCCGAUUGCGAAGGCAGCAUGCCGGCUCCACACUGACGCUGAGGCACGAAAGCGUGGGUAUCGAACAGGAUUAGAUACCCUUGUAGUC